rnacentral:rRNA from 1 species
AUACGGAGGGUGCAAGCGUUGUUCGGAAUCACUGGGCGUAAAGGGCGCGCAGGCGGUUUGGUAAGUCAGAUGUGAAAGCCCACGGCUCAACCGUGGAAGCGCAUUUGAAACUGCCAGACUUGAGUACCAGAGGGGAAAGUGGAAUUCCCGGUGUAGAGGUGAAAUUCGUAGAUAUCGGGAGGAAUACCGGUGGCGAAGGCGACUUUCUGGCUGGAUACUGACGCUGAGGCGCGAAAGCGUGGGGAGCAAACAGGAUUAGAAACCCCAGUAGUCC